rnacentral:rRNA from 1 species
CACCAGUUAACAUCCGUCCUUGUUCCCUCUUUGAUAGGUCGCCUGCGGAUGAGGGCAUGUCGAGCUCCGAAAGAAGCCGGGAUCCAAUGGCACCCAUUGGGUAUGUCAAGUCUCAACCACACCCAUCCACUGAAACUUGGUGGCAUUUUAUUUAUCCCCAUGGCAGUUCAUUUCUCUAUUUAUAUUGUCGGCCACACCUUGUGCAAUGGUGUUUUUCACCAUCCUGUCCCCUCUGCAUCUUUCCGUUUAGAUGUUACCAUCAUAGGAAGAUGAUAUUCCGCGCUAAAACACUGUUUUAUUGGGGAAUGAGAGGACUGAGAAAAUAGAGUGGUGAUCGAGUAGAGGAUAGCUGGUUUUGAUUAAUUGAUGGAGCAACUGAGAGAGUUCAAUGAGGAGGUGCAGAUCGUGGAAGAGGAAUCUCCUGAGGUGCGCAGGCACGUCGUCCUCUCUGUUCCAAGUCCUGCUAGAGAUGAUUUCAGAGGCAGAGGUGAAGUCAGGGAGACGAGGGGCCCAAUUAGUGCUUCCCUGGGUGCCAUGAGACCCCUUGUUGGGAAGCUGGACAUGUUGCUCUUUGGGGAUGCUCCUCUGGAAUGCUCUUCCAAGAGGGUUAAGGACGGUAUGCACCUCCUCAAAGAUGACGUUGAGAAGAUAAGCUCCUACCUUGAUGACCUGUCUGAGCUACAGGACCCUCCCCUGACGGCCAAGUGCUGGAUGAAUGAGGUGCGUGACUUGUCCUAUGACAUGGAGGAUUACAUCGACAGUUUAGUAGUUGUGCGACCUAAAGAUUUCCCCCUGUUACCAACAUCAAGAGCACCAAAUCCCACCACAAAUUGUCCAGCCAUAUCAAGACUUCCAAGAGUCAGAUUAUUAUUGCGGAAACGCUAUCAGAAUUUAGGAUGUAUGUCCAAGAGGUGAUUCAACGGUACCAGAGGUACAAUCUCCAUUCUUGCAGAACCUUGAGGCGUAGGUUUGUGUCCCUUGGCCCUAUGCUUCUUCCAAUGCCAUAUAAAGAAACUGAUGACAUAGUAAUCGAUGGCCGGAUGAAUGAAUUUAUCAACUCACUGGUUAAUGAUGGGGACCAGCAGCUCAAGGUGCUAUCUGUUCUUGGAUCUGCUUGUCUUAGUAAAACUACACUUGCUAGAGUGAUGUACAGCAGAUUUAGGAAACAAUACAGUUGCCGAGCUUUCAUUCAGGUGUCCAAGAAACCUGAUAUGAAGAGAAUUUUCCGUGACAUGCUCUCACAACUCCAGCGGCAGCAACCCCCACAAUAUUAUAUGGAAACUGAUCUCAUUCACCAUAUCAAGCAAUAUCUACAGGAUAAAAGGUAUUUAAUUAUUCUUGAUGAUGUAUGGGCUGCAUCAGUAUGGGAUAUUAUUAAUCAUGUUUUGCCAAAGGGUAAUUGUGGAAGCAGAAUAGUAACAACUACGCAGAUCGAAGACAUUGCAUUAGCGUGCUGCCAUUAUCAGUCAGAGUAUGUUUUUGAGAUGAAACACCUAGAUGAUGAUCAUUCUAGAAAGCUUUUCUUUAAUAGACUUUAUGGCUCUGAAGUGAUUGUCCUGAAGAGUUCAAAGAGGUACUGGAUGACAUUGUUGAAACAUGUGAUGGUUUCCCGCUAGCCACAAUCAGCAUAGCUAGCCUUUUAGCAAGCCAACCUGUCAUGUCAAUUGAUCUUUUGACGUACAUCCAACAGUCGUUAAGCUCUUCUCUUUCUACAUCAGAAAAAACGAGACAAGCACUGAAUCUUAGCUUCAAUAAUCUUCCUCGUUAUCUGAAGACAUGUUUGCUGUAUCUUAAUAUGUAUCCAGAGGGCCAGAUAUUCUUCAAGGAUGAUUUGGUGAAGCAAUGGGUAGCUGAAGGUUGUAUUGAUACAGCGGAAGGGCAAGACAUGGUGAAACUUGCAGAGAGCUAUCUUGAUCAACUUAUUGGCAGAAGACUCAUACUGCCUAUAUGUAUCAACUACAACAAUGAAGUGUUGUCCUGUACAGUUCAUGACAUGGUACAUGAUCUUAUUGCAUACAAGUCUGAAGAAGAAAAUUUCGUUUUGGUAAUAGACCACAGUCAAGCAAAUGUGUCACUUUCUCAUAAGGUCCGUCGACUAUCUCUCCUCUUUGGCGAUGCAAGAUAUGUCAAGAAACCAGCAAAUAUCAGAAAGUCACAAGUUCGGUCACUUAGAUUUUUUGGAUUAUCUGAGUGCAUGCCUUGCAUUAGAGAUUUCAAGCUUCUUCGUGUUCUGAAUCUCCAACUACCGGGUCAUGGUGGCGACGCUGAUGCCGACUCUUUUGAUCUCACUGGGAUCUCAGAACUGUUUCAACUGAGAUAUUUGAAGAUUGCAUGUGAUGUCUGCAUAGAGCUUCCAAACCAUGGGCUACCAUGUUUGGAAUUGCUAGAUAUUAUGGAUGCAAGAGUUGCUAGUGUUCCAUGUGAUAUCCAUCUACCACACUUGUUGCACCUCAGCCUUUCUGUCGAGAGAAAUCUGCUGGAUUGGUCUGUCAGUAAGGGGAGCCUUGGCAAGCUGAACUACCUGCAGGAUCUUCAUGUUAGCAUUGUUCCGUCUGCGCCUUCCUACGUUGUGGAGAGAAGCAUGGAAUCUCUAGGCUCUUUAAUCGGAGGACAUGGAAGCUUGAGAACUAUACAAGUGGUGGCUCAUGGCUCCUCGGUACAAAAUGCUCUGGUUCGUGGUGUGUCAAAAGUAACCAUUUCAUGGGAUGACUUGGCACCUCCCCCGUUUCUCCAGAGAUUUGAGUGUUCGCUGCAUAAGUGGCUUGGAAAACUUGGCAACCUAUGCAUUUUGAAGAUUUCAGUAAGGGAACUGAUGAUGGAUUGUAUUGAUAUUGUUAGAGGAUUGCCAGCCCUCGCCACUUUGUCGCUGUAUGUGCAGAAGGCGCCCAUUGAAAGGAUCAUCUUUGACAAAGCCGGGUUCUCAGUUCUGAGGCACUUCAAGUUGAGGUUCACGAGUGGUAUAGCUUGGCUAGUGUUUGAGGCAGAUGCAAUGCCUAAUCUCUGGAAGAUGAAGCUAGUCUUCAACGCCACCCCCCCAAUGGACCAACAUCCUUUUCUUUAUUCUUCGAAGCAAGGCGCCUUCGAACGACACCAACGUGGUACUGCAAUUAUCAGCGUCGAGCCUAUGCCAGAGCUUAGAGAGAUGUCGGUAAAAUUUGGGGGUGCAGCUGCUGAUCUAGAGUAUGCCAUGAGGACCUUCGUAAGGAACCAUCCGAGCAAUCCUACAAUCAUAGUGCAACUGGUGGAUCACAGUUCCUAUGGCGACGGAAUCACAAAACAGAGAACAUAGCAACCAGAUGAGAUUGUGGAGGAGGAGCCGACAUCCAACAGUAAACAGCCAGACGAGACCCUGAUGGAAGAAGUAGGUAAUUAUGACAAGAUUUUUGAGAGAGUGUUUGAGAGACCAAGGAUUUCGAGGCCAUCCCUCCCAAAAAAAAAGAGAAACAAGAUUUCAAGGCCAUCCCUCCCAGGAAAAAAGAAAGAGAAGAUUUCAAGGCAUCGCAUUGAAGAAGGGCCUCUGACACUUGGGGUGGAUCCAUGAGGUGAGUGGGACUACAAAGGGUGGAUUUAUGGACAAGAUUGACAGAGGUGCUGCUGAUUCCGUCGAGACGACGCGGUCAUAUGCUACUAGAUCAAGUCCCUCAUAUGCUGCUACCUGAGAAUGAGAUGGCCCUGAGCUCAUCUGGGCUGUCGUGCGUUGCCGGUGUGCUGCUCACCAGGCAGCUUGUACAAGAGAGAUUCUGUCGGCGUUCUCUUUAUGCAGCACCCUGUUUCCCAGGACUGAAGAAGAGGAGGAGUUCAAGAGAAAGCCCCCAUUGAAACAUCCGACUUGUAUUAUUUUUGUUGCAAUUUCAGAGUUCCGAUGGUUUUCACUGCGUUCUUCUGAUGGCUUUCAUUUCCCAGCUUUGUUUGUGAGCAUGUUACUACCAGUUAUUUUCCGAACAUCAAGUUCCGUGUUACGC